GGUAAAAUGGCUGAGCAUAGGCAAUAAACUGUAAAUUUAUUUAGGAAAUUUUAAUUUCUUUUACCA
rnacentral:tRNA from 1 species